rnacentral:tRNA from 1 species
CGGGCUGUAGUAUACCGGUAGUACGCACCCUUCGGGAGGGUGUAGACUGGGUUCGAUUCCCAGCAGCCCGACCA